CCAGGGGGCCGAUAGAAAGAGAAUCCCAUCUACCAGGCCCGAGGGAGGAGACGGGAAACCGCGUGGUCACGGGACCCGGGAAGUCUUUCCCGGCCCCAAAGAUCUCCCCAGGCAGCGACCAGGCCACGGACACUUUGCCAGUUAACGUUCACUGAAAACCGAAGCUCACACAGCCCCUGGUCCCCUGGAAGGAUGGGAGGUAUUUGCUCACAAUGGGCUUGUACAUACAACCAUUGUCCCUUGGUACUGCUAGAAGGAUGUACACGAGCCAGGUAUUUUCAUGAUAAACACUUGAGAGAGACACGGGCCUCCUCUUCUCCAGCAAUGACUAGGAAGGGCUCUGCGAUCCUUUUCACCCGCUUGGCUGCCGGGGCCCCUGCAGGACCGUGUGGAAAGUGGAGGAAAUGCCGGCAGCCGCAAGCCCAGCCCGCCCGGCCGUGUUUCGUGAUAAGAAGCCUCCGUCUGAACCGUCCCUUAUGAAGCGGGAAUCUUCCCUUGGAGCAAAUGGAAUUCUAAGAGCAAGAAAAAUUCACCUGCUCUCUGCCACAGUUCAGCCUUCCCAGGGCAGGGCUUCCGUGAUGGGGGAGCCGCCCCUCAGCCCUCGGCCGCCCCCUCCACCCAAGUGGAGACCAGAGACCUGAGGAUUCUGCCUCUGCCCGCGCACCAGGGCACACGCCCGAGUUCAAGGCCCCUCGUUCUUGAGUGUCUGCUGGGUCAUCAGCAGGAGCCCUGGGGGCGGAGGACCCCCAGCACUAGCACCAGGCUCUGAGGGACCAUCCUGAGCACCUAGCCAGGGCCUUCGAAGCCAGGCUGUCCAGGCCGCGCAGCUCAGGCUGGCACUAGCUGCACGGAGCCCGCCUCAGGUCAGCCUGUGCUGGUGGCCAUGGAGGCCACCUCCGCAGCCUCCCCUGAAUCAAAUAAAUAAAGUAAACCCAGGAGGCUUGCAGUGUCCCGGUCUCUGGGCUGUGAUCUGGGGACACAGUUGGACACGUCCUUGCACAGGUGUCGCCAGGCUCCGGCCCUGGGUCCUUCCUGCUGGCCCCUCAGCCCUGGGCACACUCCUGCAGUCCUAGGAGACCGGCCCUGAGGGGUCGGGGAGGUCCUAUCUGUGACCGCUGGGAGGUGGCCCAGGGCCUCCUGGGAAGGGCCGCAGGUCCCAGCUAGGACGGGGCCUCUCAGGUUCAUGGGCUCUGGGCUGAGUGAUCGAAGCUCAGUUCUGACUCGGGCUGCGUCCAGGGCCCCACAGGGUUUAUUUACGGAAUCCUGACCCUCCAGGCUGGUGGGCACAUGCCAGCCUCCCUUGGUGAAGGCCUCCUACGCAGGUGUGCCCAGAGCAUUGACCUGAGCCCCGCGUUGUGGGUCGUCCACAUGGGCACCUCCUACAAACCUGCAGCAUCAG
rnacentral:lncRNA from 9 species